rfam:Elusimicrobia bacterium RIFOXYD12_FTLL_66_9 rifoxyd3_full_scaffold_2265, whole genome shotgun sequence.
GGGCCUGUAGCUCAGCUGGGAGAGCGCCUGCAUGGCAUGCAGGAGGUCAGCGGUUCGAUCCCGCUCAGGUCCA